GUUAUAACUAAAUUAAAAAAGACGAAUCUGCUGAUUUCACGUCUAAAAGGUAUUUACUAUUUAUAGUUUAAUUCAUAUGAAAUUACCAAAAACUCCACAUAAACAAACUGAAACCCUGCCCAACUCUCUUGUGUCCCUAUAAAAGGACGUGAUAAGCAACGUAAGCAGGCGGCUGUCAUCUCCAAAGUUCCCAUCCUCUAAUUCAUCCGUCUCUUCAACCAUUACUCUCCUGGUUGUUUAAUUAGGAAUGGACAUGGUUGGUUGAUAUUCGCAUCGCAGGUUCCUUUAUGCUUACAUGGACCAUAACCAAUAUGGUGGCAACAAUAAGCUUGGAAUUGGGCAACAAAAAAUGUUAUUCUUGAAUCAGAUUCCCAACAGUACUGUUGCAAGCCUGCUCAGAUGAACUCGUCUAUCACCCUUGUUCCGUAUUGUUGCUUGAAGCCAUUAAAGAAAUUUUGCAGGGAAGAUGUGCUGUGUGAUGCAUAUGAACUUGUGCAGAUAUCUUAGCUAAAAUGGGUGCCUCUUAGCAUAGUGAUCUUCUGUUAUGGUCUUCAUCCCCAUCGAAGCUUGUACAGCUCUGUUUCGCUUUUGUACACAGUACCAAAAGAGUUGAUGUUGAGCUUUCCAUGGAUGGACCAGCUUGCCCAUAAUGGUGGCAAGGUGUGAAACAAAAUUACUUUUCAACAACAGAGAUUUCAGAAACAUAAUUGUAAAAUUAUUCCAUUCAAUUCAUGGCAUUUAAUUAACACGGCCUCAAUAUUUUUGUUUUAGCUUCC